ensembl:lncRNA
GUUUAAAGGGGUCAUUUGAUGCUAUUUAAAUUUUUCCUUUCUCUUUGGAGUGUUAUAAGCUCUUGGUGAUUAAAGAAGAUCUGUAAAGUUGCAAAGACUAAAGUCUCAAAUCCAAAGAGAUAUUCUUUAUAAAAUUAAGAUUCAACCACGCCCUCCUGAAAUGGCUUGUUUAAACACGCCACCACAUGUCUGUCACGAUGUGGGAAGAUUUGCAUAACAUUUCCAAAUGUUUACGCAAAGAAAGGUGGCAUAACUUUUAUUCUCGCUGUUGCUGCCGGCACUAUGUUGUGGAGAAGCUGUGUGUGUCGUUGUGAAAGCGAAACUACUUUGUUUGGCCUUCCAAAAGAGGACACAACUAGAAAUCAGUGGUUAAGUUGUAUUAACAACACUGUUCCAGAACAGAUCAACCCAAAUAUUCAGAUGUGUGCAAAUCUUCCCACAUCGUGACGUAGACAUGUGGGGGCAUGUUAGAACAAGGCGUUUUAGGGGUGUGUGGUUGACUCUUAACUUUUAUAAAGAAUAUUUAUAAAUUUGUUUAUUUGUAAAUUUGUAUGUAAUGUUUCUUUAAGAACAUUAACUAACAUCGUAACAUAACUAACAUUAUGUAUUGCUUAGAUCAUUAGUCAACAAGUAGUUAAUAGUUAAAAUGUCAUGAAAAUAGAAGUUCAAUCAUCUCCCCUAAUGUGCUGAUUCAAAACCCUGGUGACUAAAUAAUGACUUUUAACACUUUUAUUAAAAUUCUGUCCUUAAUAUUUUAUUUAGAAAAAGAAAACAUUUGAGUCUGUAUAUCAACAUUCUGUACAUGAAUGCAUUUUUUAUUUCUGUUAGUGAUACAUUCACAAUGCAACUGACAAAGUGAUACAAACAAAACAGCAUUCCACAAUAUUUUUCAUAAAUCACAGUAAUAUAUUACAAAAACGUAUAUUACAAAAAAAAAAACAUUCAGCAGGAAAUCACUAUUUUAUGACUUAUUUAAAAAGAAAUAAAAAAGUAAGUGUAUGACCUUGACUACAUUUUCACAUGAAGAAAAAGACAUAUUCCUCUCAUACAGUAAAUCUAGUCAUAAAACUAAACAGGCCAGAGUGAUUAAUGGGGAAAUAUUUACAUAUCACUUGCACUGACCAAACACCAUGUGUAGUUAACAGCAGAGGUAGAUGGUAGUCAUUGGGCCAAUUCCAAAGUUACGAAUUAUGUAACAGUUAUUUGAAUGACAUUUGGGUUUAAAUAAGUGUUUAUGUACAUUUUAAAUCUCAUAAAUAUACAUAAUUGAACUAUUUUUUCAAUAUACCAGGGUCUAUCAGUUGAUAUAGAUGUAGAUAUCAUUAUUGGCAUCAUUUAAUAACCCAUAUCAGUUGAGCUCUUGUGUAGAACCAUAAAAUAACUUAUGUAGGAUAUUUGCAAUAACAAGUGUGUGGACGCUAUACAGUAAUUUUAUCCUGCUCUUGAGUCGUAUCAGUAUUUUACUGACUGAAAUCAUGGAAAAAACAGCUUGUGUUCAUAUAAUUCAUAAAAUCAUCAGCAGCUUUUGAUGACACAUAGUUUUUUUCUGGUGUGUAUAAACGGCUGCUCCACAACUGGAUUCAAACUGGAUUCAUGUUCACUUUACAUGAUGACAAUUUCAGCAGAUCUGGAUAUUUGGAACUGAUCCAAAUAUAUUUCCUGAUCGUUUUCUUUACAUCAUCAUUAGAGAUCCUGUGACUUUUACCCAAAACUUGGUAUCUGAAUUUGGAAUCUGUGAGAAAGAGCAACAGAACAUUUAGAGGGGAACAACAGUUUGGCAGUUAGUUAAAAAAAAAAAAAAAAAGGUUCCAAUUUACCUGAAACUGUCUUUACAUGUAGAGCAAAUCUGAUUCAUAGUAAUUAACCUAGAAAACACAUGAUGGAUUAAUGCCAUGGAUAGACUGUAAACGGCAAAUAUUUUUAUAGCAUUAUACCAUUUUUUAAUAUCCUAUAAUAUUGUUGAAAGAUGUUUUAUUCAGUCAAACAGUUAAUCAAUCGAUCAAUCAAUCAAUCAAUCAACCAACCUAUCAAUAACAAUAAAAAGUUUGCUUUGUAAGCCUGAUUCAAAAUCUACAUUUAAUUUAAAUUCGUCAUGAUAACCACAGUCUACAUCAAAAUGCCAUAAUUACUGCAAGAAACCUGUCAUUUCAUUCCACAAUUAUAAGAUUGACAACUGUAAUGCCC